rnacentral:lncRNA from 1 species
AAUUGUCAGAGUAUACCUCAUUGAGAUGGCAUUUAAGCUGAUACCUGAAGGAAGUGAAUGCUAUAAUUUAUAAAUAAAAACUUUCACCUUUUUUUCUUUGCAGAAAAACAGAAAAGAGAAUUAGUCUUAGAACCAUGGCAAAAAGAUAUGGUUAUGGCAAUGAAGUCAAUAAGCAGUGUAUGUAA